rnacentral:lncRNA from 1 species
AUUGAAAAAAUGAUUAUAAAAUUCUUGUACGUACCCUUUCCGUCAAGAUAUUAGUAGUUCUUUUGUAUCUCGCCAUGAAUUCAGGACAUGCAGAUAUCCAUAAUUCUUUCAAGGAUGGAAAUUCAAGAAUAUCAAGAUCUCCAGUGCAGAAGCUUGUGAUCUUUUCAAGAUCAGACAUCUCCAGAUAUUGCAACUGAGGAAACAUUACAAUAUUAUUCUUCCUUUCUUCUUGGUUGUCCACGACUAUUAACUCUUCCAGGACAGGACAUUUACUUAUCUCAAUGCUUUGGAGUCGAACAAAGCUACUAACAGUAGAAGAUGAAAAUAGACAUCUUAAAUUCAUACAUCCGUGCAGGAUCAAGCGUGUUAAAUUCUGAUUACCACAAGACAUGACUGUAACUUGGCUCGGCCAAAUCCUCUCAACAUUUAUUGACACCAACUCCAACUUCUCUAACUCUGGUAAUGCAACCUGCACGAUCAAAAAAUUAACUUGUUAAUUACAAGCAACAAUGAUUUCUGUUGAUGGACAAAUCAAUAAAAUUACUCUUUCUCUGGUUAUAGUUCUUUUCAGUUUUUCAUACAAACAACCGUUAAUCAAGUUUNNNNNNNNCAUGUAAGACGAUUGAAGUGCAAUGCUUUAUUGCACUUCCGUCCGACCAUUCCCUGCAACCAUCAACCUGCUCAUUUGUAGCAGUAAACACAUUUCGUUCAGUAGAUGCAAUUGAUAUGGCGACAUCGCGAACUACAUCAUGCAUAGAAAACAACUCUUUCUUCUGGCUUAUAUGGUCAAGCAACAUACAAGAAGCUUUGAGUGUGCGCACCAAUGUAUGUACUCGAUUUCGUGCUGCUUCCAUCUUAUUCACACCUUGAAAUAAACUCAAUCCCAUACCACACAUUAACAGUUCGUCAAUAGAUGCUAUGGCUGUAUAUCCUAUUAGCAAAAAGAUGUUCUUCAGCUCCUCCCCUACCAAUUUGUCGUAACUCAACUUUAUGGCUUUAUAUGCAUCUGGCUGUACAUGCUUAAAAUUCGAUGAAGAGGGCCUUCCUAGUUUUUCCAAUGCAUCCUUCCAUUCCUGUAUGUUCUUGUUCCUUAAUGCCCUUGCAACCGUCACAAUGGAAACUGGCAGACCUGCACAUCCCUUUGCCACAUCCCUUGCUACCGAUUGGAAUUCACUACCUUCAAUAUAAUCACCUGCCAUCUUCUUGAAUAGAUUCCAAGCUUCUUCUUUGUUUAAAACACCAAUUGAGAAAUUUGUUCGACAAUCCAUCUUCUCAGACAAUACAUUUAGACUUCUGGCCGUCAACAAUACUUUACAACCAUCUCCAAGAGGAAUUCGGACACUCCCCAAAUUAAGAUUUUCCCAAAUGUUGUCUAAAACUAUCAGGAUCUUCUUCACUUUUUUUAUACCUUCAUAUAAGCUGCCUGCCCUUCCUUCAUCACUUUCCUCAUGCAACUUCAGGCCUAAUUUAUCUGCGAUUACUCCUUGAAUCUUUCGUAUGUCUUGAUUCUGAGACACCUCAACAAAAACCACCUGAUCAAAGAGUUUGUCACUCUUGACUUUCCUAGCAACUUCUUCGGCCAGCAUCGUCUUUCCGAUGCCACCCAUUCCAUAAAUCCCAAGCAUGUUGACAUCGCGAUCUUCUAGUGCACUGAGUAUACUCCUCAAAGUGGACAUUCUUGAUUCAAAGGGCUCGUAGUCUUUGUUAGGGAUAAAUUUUUUUAAAAGGUAAAAGAGCGUACAAAACCCAAAUUCAUUUUUUUAGUCCCUUACUCUCCCAUGAUUCAAACUUCACUUUUUUUUUCUUUUUCUUUUUUUUCUUUUUUUGUUGAGAGAAAAGAGAAGAAGGAUAUUACAAAGCAUGAAGCUCGUGCAAUAUAAGGGCAAUUAUGGUUUUUUCUUUAAAUUAAAAUGGUAAGAUUCUGAAGCUAAAAGAUUAAAAUAUUAAUUAAAUUGCAAACAUUAAAGAUUUUUUUUCCAAAAUUGGUUGCUUUGAAAAUGAGAAUAAUAUAAUAUUUGAAGACUUUUUCAAAAUUAAUUACUGUGAUGCACUAGAAAUUUAUAGCUUUAGUCUAAUGUAUAAAUUGACAAAACGAUAUUAGAAUCCCAGGUGAAAAGAACCCUCUCAUACCAUUUUCUUAAAUUAGGAAUGAUCAUACCUCUGACUCUGCCGGACUGAGGGCGAGGCGUGAACCCCUCAUACGGAGACGCUUGAGAUGGGAAGAGCCUACUUUGACUAACUCGUUACGAAAAUAAUCGACAUCUUGCUCUUGCAAUCUACGUAAUUCAAGGUCUUCAAUUCUCUGCAGUUGCACGAUCAGCGAAUCCUUCAAGCGAAUCUUGUCAUUUAGCUCGAGUCUGAAUUCACGACACCAAAUGCCAGUGCUCUCCCAAUAUUCCCAACCCUCAUCCUCAUCCUCAUCCUCAUCAUCUCCAAUGCGGAUGAUAUGUAUGCUGUACCUUUCCAGCUUCUCCAAGAGCAGGCCUCUGGGCAGAGUGCCGACGUCAUAGACGUGUAAUUCCAAAGAGGUCAAGUUGGGUAAAUGCUUCAACUCCUCAAGGCUUGCAUUCUUAACCCCUUCCACCUCCACCUCCCAAUCGGCAAAGUCAAAGAGUUCACUAGCUAUAUAUAGUUCUUCUAAAUGGGAUAAUUUUGACAGUAUAUUUGGUGGAAUAACUUUUAGUGCAAAACAAUCUCUCAAAUCAAGCAACUUUAGCCAAGUCAAUUCACCUACUUCUACCGGCAACUUCUUAAUAUAAGAACCUCUUAAGCAAAGGAUUUCUAGUUUCUUCAAGUCUCCUACAACACUUAUAUCAGGCAAACUGCAGCGACACAAACUCAGUGUUCGAAGGUUUGACAGGAGACCAAGUGAUGGAGGCAGUGACCGUAUGUAAGUCAAGUUUACAACUCUGACCUCGAUCAUGCUCUUGAAAAGGUUGUCUGGAAUUGUUACUGGUGAGGUUUCGCAAGGAUCAUCACUAAUAAAAAGAAGUUCGAGCUGAGGACAUUCCAGUACUUUAGGAAGCAAAUUAGGCUUGAUAUCAUGUAUGACGAUUGAAGUGCAAUGCUUUAUUGCACUUCCGUCUGACCAUUCCCUGCAACCAUCAACCUGCUCAUUUGUAGCAGUAAACACAUUUCGUUCAGUAGAUGCAAUUGAUAUGGCGACAUCGCGAACUACAUCAUGCAUAGAAAACAACUCUUUCUUCUGGCUUAUAUGGUCAAGCAACAUACAAGAAGCUUUGAGUGUGCGCACCAAUGUAUGUACUCGAUUUCGUGCUACUUCAAUCUUAUUCACACCUUGAAAUAAACCCAAUCCCAAACCUUAUAUUAUAUUAUGUUUCCAUAUUUCUCCUUUAUAGUGAAGACUCGUACUUCUUCUCUAAUAAAUGCUAAAGUAUUGGCUUAAAUUUUUUAACCGGCACAGUAGACCCUUAAGCUAUAUAUACUAUAAUGUCCCUCUUCUCUCACAGAUUAAACCAAUCUGAUCUCAGAGUGAGUUGAUACCAUGACUUUGCAUCAUUCGUGAUCAAAGGAGCAUCAUUACUAACUAAUAUAGGCUCGAUCAAUAGGCAUGAUAAUAAUUUUUUUUUAUCUACAAACACUAUUUUUCAAAAUAUUUUAUCUUAAGACUAACUAAAUAUUUUUUAACUAUGUAGAUAUAGGUUGUUUGAUCUCUUUUAAAUAGUGGAGAUUACAAACAAACGGAUGCGAAUUAGUAGUGAUGUUGAGUUCAGAAGAUUGAAGUUAAGAAAAUUAAGGGUUUCUUGAUCUAGGGAAAUUUCAAAAGAGAGGCAGUGACCGUAUGUAAGUCAAGUUUACAACUCUGACCUCGAUCAUGCUCUUGAAAAGGUUGUCUGGAAUUGUUACUGGUGAGGUUUCGCAAGGAUCAUCACUAAUAAAAAGAAGUUCGAGCUGAGGACAUUCCAGUACUUUAGGAAGCAAAUUAGGCUUGAUAUCAUGUAUGACGAUUGAAGUGCAAUGCUUUAUUGCACUUCCGUCUGACCAUUCCCUGCAACCAUCAACCUGCUCAUUUGUAGCAGUAAACACAUUUCGUUCAGUAGAUGCAAUUGAUAUGGCGACAUCGCGAACUACAUCAUGCAUAGAAAACAACUCUUUCUUCUGGCUUAUAUGGUCAAGCAACAUACAAGAAGCUUUGAGUGUGCGCACCAAUGUAUGUACUCGAUUUCGUGCUGCUUCCAUCUUAUUCACACCUUGAAAUAAACUCAAUCCCAUACCACACAUUAACAGUUCGUCAAUAGAUGCUAUGGCUGUAUAUCCUAUUAGCAAAAAGAUGUUCUUCAGCUCCUCCCCUACCAAUUUGUCGUAACUCAACUUUAUGGCUUUAUAUGCAUCUGGCUGUACAUGCUUAAAAUUCGAUGAAGAGGGCCUUCCUAGUUUUUCCAAUGCAUCCUUCCAUUCCUGUAUGUUCUUGUUCCUUAAUGCCCUUGCAACCGUCACAAUGGAAACUGGCAGACCUGCACAUCCCUUUGCCACAUCCCUUGCUACCGAUUGGAAUUCACUACCUUCAAUAUAAUCACCUGCCAUCUUCUUGAAUAGAUUCCAAGCUUCUUCUUUGUUUAAAACACCAAUUGAGAAAUUUGUUCGACAAUCCAUCUUCUCAGACAAUACAUUUAGACUUCUGGCCGUCAACAAUACUUUACAACCAUCUCCAAGAGGAAUUCGGACACUCCCCAAAUUAAGAUUUUCCCAAAUGUUGUCUAAAACUAUCAGGAUCUUCUUCACUUUUUUUAUACCUUCAUAUAAGCUGCCUGCCCUUCCUUCAUCACUUUCCUCAUGCAACUUCAGGCCUAAUUUAUCUGCGAUUACUCCUUGAAUCUUUCGUAUGUCUUGAUUCUGAGACACCUCAACAAAAACCACCUGAUCAAAGAGUUUGUCACUCUUGACUUUCCUAGCAACUUCUUCGGCCAGCAUCGUCUUUCCGAUGCCACCCAUUCCAUAAAUCCCAAGCAUGUUGACAUCGCGAUCUUCUAGUGCACUGAGUAUACUCCUCAAAGUGGACAUUCUUGAUUCAAAGGGCUCGUAGUCUUUGUUAGGGAUAAGCCGAAUAUCCUCUGGAGCAGUACGGUAGGAAAUUCUAUCAAAUCUUCUAGCGUCCAGGACUUUGACAACAGCCUCCUUCUGCCUCUCUGCUUCCUUGCUAAGUCGACGGCGGGUCUUCAAAUUAGGUAUUAACCCCUUGAAACAACGCUUAUUUUCAAUGGCUUCAUCGUCUGUAAAUUUAUCUGCCUUAACAAUGACAUCAUUUGCCCCUUCGAGCCAAUUCUCAACGUUCUCUUCAAUCGCUUCCCCUUUUGUUUUAGCCUCAGCAACCCGGUGCUCUAUACUAACCUUCUCAGACUUCAGAUUGUCAACUUCAGUCUUGAGAUUGUCUAAGAUGCUCGUGUACUUACUCUCACGCAAAUAGCUAAUUUGGCGAUAUGCGGGAGGAGCCAAGCACUUCACAACUUCUACAACAAUAGUAAGAAUGAUUUCAGCCAUCUUCAAUCCUUUGUCCUUGUCUCUCUAUCUCUCUUUUUUCUGAAUUUGUGAAAAACAAUUGAUCCAGUUAGGAAGCACACUGAGUGAUUGAACACAAGUGACCACAACAAGAUGGAACAAAAUUAAAAGGAAAAAAAUAGAAAGAGUGGAUGGAGAAUAAAACAGAGACAGCGGCACAGCUGGACACAACUAGAUAGAGAACAGAGGAAAACCAAAUAACAAGACUUAAGAUUACAACAAACAGAGGCCAAGUAUUGUUGAGAUCAGAAGAUGGAAAAUUCAAAAGAGUUGAUGACAGAUGCUGAAUAACAGAACAACAAUGAACGCAAUAAACAGAAGCAAAGUGUGGUUGUGAUCGACAGACGGAAGUAAGGAAAAGCGGUUGUCGAUUGAAAAUGAAUGAAUGCAAGGAAAGACUGAUAUUGAAAAUUGACGUCAAUAGCGAAGGAAUAAUUGAACUUUCGCUUAAUUAUUGUUUGUGGCCUUGUUUUACUUUUUAUUUGUGGGUCAUGUCUUUUGGAACUAAUCAUCUUAGCUUAUGCUUUACAGCUUUAAGGCCAGUAACCGGUGUCCGUUGGAUAAGCAUAUAGAAAUCCAACGGUGGAUAUAUAUCCUUGGGAAUAAAAUUCAAGAGCAAAGGGAGUGCUGGGCUGCAGUUUCUUAAGGAGAUUUAUAUAUCCUCCUCAAAAAUAAAUGUUUUAAGGUAGAUAUUUAGACUAUUUCAUCAUAAAAUGAAUGUAAUUAAUUUUCAAUAAAUAUCUUAUAUAAAUAUUUAUUUAUUUUUUUAAUUACUAAUGACCUUUGAAUAUACAUAUAUACAUAUCACUAAUUCAAAAAUAAAUUGUGAUUAUUUGUUAAUAUAUGCGAUUACUUGUGAUGGUAAACAAAGUAGAUAUGGUAUAUUUUGAAGUUAAAUUAAAAAAAAAAAAAACAGAGCUUUUACCAUUACUUGCCUUAUCAUCUUUUAAAUUAGAAUUAUUAUUCUUUUAUUUUUCAAGUUGCCAACUCAUCCGCAUUCUCUUGUAUUGAAUUUGAAGAUCAAUGAUUAUAAAUUUGUGUGAAAAUUUUAAGUCAAAACUUUAAAUUAAAAUAAUCUUUAAGUUAUUGGGAAAUAAUACCUUAGUAUAACAAAUAUUAUAUCCUAUACUUUAUUGCUACAAAAUUACGAAACCUUAUAUUAUAUUAUGUUUCCAUAUUUCUCCUUUAUAGUGAAGACUCGUACUUCUUCUCUAAUAAAUGCUAAAGUAUUGGCUUAAAUUUUUUAACCGGCACAGUAGACCCUUAAGCUAUAUAUACUAUAAUGUCCCUCUUCUCUCACAGAUUAAACCAAUCUGAUCUCAGAGUGAGUUGAUACCAUGACUUUGCAUCAUUCGUGAUCAAAGGAGCAUCAUUACUAACUAAUAUAGGCUCGAUCAAUAGGCAUGAUAAUAAUUUUUUUUUAUCUACAAACACUAUUUUUCAAAAUAUUUUAUCUUAAGACUAACUAAAUAUUUUUUAACUAUGUAGAUAUAGUUUGUUUGAUCUCUUUUAAAUAGUGGAGAUUACAAACAAACGGAUGCGAAUUAGUAGUGAUGUUGAGUUCAGAAGAUUGAAGUUAAGAAAAUUAAGGGUUUCUUGAUCUAGGGAAAUUUCAAAAGAGUGAAGCGUCCUCAAAAUCGGAAGACGAAAAAUAAGGAAAGGGUAAGGGUGUAUUUUCAAAGUAAUUCUAUUAGUAGAUCUUUGAAGUAGGGGUGGGCAAAUCAGGUUAGUUCGGUUUAAAACGGAUUGAAACAAUUUAAUCCAAAAAUUCUACCAACAACCACUUAAAAUCCAAAAAUCUUAAUUCCAAACAUCCUUAAUAACAAAUAUCAACUACAAACCAUCAUUAACAAUAUUUCAACAAUAACAAUAACAAUAAUAACAACAACAACAACAAUAAUAAUAACAACUAUGAAUUAGCAAUUCAGCAUAUUGCCAUAUUCUAAAUUUAAAAAAAAAACACAAAUUAAUUAAUUAACAAUCUCCAAUUUAAUUUAUAAUAACAGCAAAAAUCCUCCCCAAUUUAAUUAAUAUCAGUCUCCAAUUAUUCAAUUAUCAGUCAAUAGCAACAAACCCACUCCAAUAUAAUUAUAACAAUCUCCAAUUGUUCAAUUAUCAGUCAACAACAACAAAUCCUCUCCAAUUUGUCACGAACAGCCUCUAAUUGUUUAAUUUUCAGUCAACAACAACAAACUCACUCCAAAUAAUUGAACAAUUGUUAAUUAAUUAAUUAAAAAUAUCCAAUUUAAUUAAUAACAACACCCAAGAGCAAGUCAGCAAUAAACCCACUCCAAAAUCCAAAUAUCAGUAUAAACUAAGUGUCAAACCUUGAUCGGUGGGAAGCUACAACGUCGGCAAAGCGUGACCAUGUGGGGCUGAGUGAGACCGUCGACCGAGGGUGUGUGAAGGGAGAAGAGGGAGCAGGGAGGUAACGUGGUGUGUGUGAGUUUAUAUAUAUAUAUUAAAAGCUAAAACUUAAAAAAAAAAAUUUAACUCAAUCCAAACGCACACCUAGAUUACUUCCGUUAAGAGCUGAAUCCCACACUCUUGAGCCUUUGUCGUUCCAGUCAACUAUAAAAACAAAUCAUUAUUGAGUGUGAACAGACUUAUUGAUCACCAAAUUUUCAAACUUGUCAUCCUUAUUGAAUCUGCGUUCCCUUUUAAUAAAAUUUAAAAAAGUACAAAUAAUGAAACAAAGUUAUGUUCCUUCAACAGUUGAUAGAGUUACGCGGCUUCAACUUGCAAGUCCAGUCGGCAUUUUCAAACUUGUAAUACCCUUACAACUUGCUUUCCAAGAUAGCUAUAAUUAAUAAUGACAAUAGUCUCCCCUAUAGCGACUAGUGAGCAACUUGUUUCGUGAAAUUAACGGCAUCUUCUCUCGCAUUUUAAAAAAAAAUUGAAUUAUAUAACCCACCAAAACUAUAAAAGAAUUGUUAGUUUUUCUUCAUUAAAAUUAAUAUAUUGCUCCUCAUAUUGAAAAAUCAAAAUUCAGAAUAAGAAUGAUUGAUACUUUUUAUUUACUAAAAUGAAAAUAAAAUAUAUGAAGCCUACAUAUUUUUUAAAUUAAAAAAUAAGAACUUUAUUUUCUACGGGGAGUGUUGGGAAUCAAGUUCUCAUUAUUUAAACUCUCAAUUGUACUUCAUCGAAAUUUCAUAAUUUCACUUUUGUUCUCAAUUAAAAUAUUAUUGUAGUUAUUAUUCUUAUUUUUAUAGUUGUUGUUGAUGAUGAUGGUGAUAAUGAUGAUGAUGAUGAUACAAGAUAAUAAAAUUAAUGAUAAUUAAACCAAUUUGAAUUCAGAGUGAGUGAGUACCAUUACUUCGCAUCAUUUGAUAUCAAAGGAGCAUCAUUACUAACUAAUAUAGGCUCGAUCGAAUUCAUUAUGCGAAGUAUAUUAUCGGCUGUAGGUAUGGAAAUAAAUUUUGUAUCCACAAACACUAUUUUUCAAAAUAUUUUAAGACUUGACUUAGCAUUUUUUAACCAUAUAUGUAUAGGUUGUUUGACCUAUUUUAAAUAGUGGAGAUUACAACAAAUGAACAGAUGUGGAUUUGUAGAGUUGUUGAGUUCAGAAGAUUGAAGUUAACAAAGGGUUUCUUUAUCUAGAGAAAAUUCGAAAGAGCGAAGUGUCUUCGAGAUCAAAAGACGAAAUAAGGAAAGGGUAAGGUUAUACUUUCAAAAUGAAUCUGUUGAGAGAACUUUAAAGAUUACUUCCGUUAAGAGCUGGAUCCCACACUUGAGUCUUCGUCGUCUCAGUCAGUCAACUAUAAGGACAAAUUAAUUUUGAGUGUGAAAGGACACAAUUGAUCACCAAAUUUUCAAACUAGUGAUCCUUAUUGAAUCUACAUUCCCAUUUGAAAAACAAUAAAAGAUUAACAUUAAUUUAACUUCAUCUAAAUUCCCAUUUGAAUCUGCAUUCCCAUUCCCUUGUUCUCUGGGAAUGCACAUAAUCAAACAAAAUCCUAUCCGCAUUUUCAAACUCGUGACCCUUCAAGCUUUCUAUGACAACUAUAAUGAAUAAUUACAACAAUGCUACCUAAUAGUGAGAACUUGUUUGAUGAAAUUAACAGCUUCUUUUCUCUCAUGUAUUUUAAAAAAAAUUAAAUUAUCAAAGUUUUUAUUUCAAAAUUAGUGCUAUAGUUCAUUAAUUUUUCAAAUUUUCCUUUUUCUUUCCACACAACAGAUUGAUUUGCCCUCCAAAAAAUGUAUUAUAUUGUUUAAUAUUGUAACUUCAAGAAACUUAUAAUAAAUUUUUAAAGAGAUAAAUAGAGAAUAUCAGUCUCCCAUCUACUCAAAAUUAAUAUAUAUCAUUAACUCUUGAUUAUUUUUAUAACAACUAAUAACUUUCUUGGCAGCAUAAUUUUACAGUAUCAUCCUUGUUUGACGUUUGUAAGUAUAUUUUUAUUCAUAUUUAUUAUAAAUUAAUUAAAUCAUAUCAAUGAAAAUUGAAAUAAAAAUUGAAGUACUACAAAUUAAAAAAAUAUGUUUUGGUGUGAAUAAAAAAUUGAAAAUAAAAAUAUUUUUCUUAUAUUUUUUGUUAUUUUUAAAUUUUUCUUAUAAUAAAUGUAUAUUUUAUGUGCUCAACUUUUUCUUUAAAUUUUUGUUAUUAGGAGGAUUUUUAGAUAUAAUGAAAAUUGUAAAGUAGUAAGUAAUAUAUAAUAAUUUUAAUAGAGAAAAGUAAAAAAUCUCUUAUUUUAAAAUACAAGGAGAAAAAUAAUUAAUUUCAAGACAUUUUAGAAGAUAUUUCAAUAUGCGGUGGACCACAAACUCGAGUCUUUGUCAUCUCAGUCAAACUAAAAGGACAGAAUAUUGAGGGCAUGGCUAACGUGCAGAAGCUACAAGUAACAGCUUCGAACUUUCCCAUUUCCAUCACCUUGCAUUGGGAGUUUGGGACCUCUUUCUCUCUCCUCUAGCAGCCGUGGAAGUUCCCCAUUGGCUACUGUUACUUACAGAAGCUGUAACAUAGACUUCUCCGAAUAUUGACCGCGAAGGGCUCAAGUGAUUGUUCAUUUCACAGCAAUUGCCUUUUUUCUUUUUUUCUAAUUAUUGGGAAAUAAGAACUUAGUAUAACAAAUAUUAUAUCCUAUACUUUAUUGCUAAAAAAUUACAAAACCUUAUAUUAUAUUAUGUUUCCAUAUUUCUCCUUUAUAGUGAAGACUCAUACUUCUUCUCUAGUAAACGCUAAAGCAUUGGCUUAAACUUUUUAACCAGCACAGUAGACCCUUAAGCUAUAUAUACUAUAAUGUCUCUCUUCCCUCACAGAUUAAACCAAUCUAUCUCAUAGUAAGUUUGCAUCAAAGGAGUAUCAUUACUAACUAAUAUAGGCUCGAUCAAUAGAGAUGACAAUAAUUUUUUUAUCUACGAACAUUAUUUUUUCAAAAUAUUAUAUCUUUAGACAUAACUAAAUAUUUUUUAACCAUAUAUGUAUAGUUUGAUUAAAUAGUGGACAUUACAACAAAACAUAUGCGAAUUAGUUGUGAUGUUGAUUUCAGAAGAUUGAAGUUAAAAAAAUAAAGGGUUUCUUGAUCUAGGGAAAUUUCAAAAGAGUGAAGCGUCUUUUAGAUCAUGACGAAAAAAAAGAAAGGGUAAGGGUGUAUUUUCAAAGUGAUUCUAUUGAAAGAUCUUUAAAGAUUACUUUCGUUAAGAGCUGUAUUCCACACUCUUGAGCCUUUGUCGUCUCAGUCAACUAUAAAGAUACAUUAUUAUUGAGUGUGAACAUUCCGACUUAUAGAUCACCAAAUUUUUAAACUUGUGAUCUUCGUUGAAUCUGCAAUCCCUUUUGAAAAAAAAAAAAAAAAAAGGGGAAAACUGCAAAUAAUGAAACAAAAUUCUGUUCCUUGAUAGAGUUACGCGGCUUCAACUUGCAAGUGCUGUCGGCAUUUUCAAACUUGUAUGACCCUUCAACUUGCUUUCCAAGAUGGCUAUAAUUAAUAAUGACAACCGAAGACGGCUACGUUUGCGGUACAAAAGUUGCACCAUAUUAGACGUUCUUUUUUGUUCUUAUCCGAAGUAACCGUUGGAUUCAAAGGAAAGUGAUCAGACAUUCAAUAGCUUCACACGUGGACAUUAUAGGAUACCGGUCAAAUCGGUUAGUGCUCCUCCUCAAUCAAACUCACAAGCAUGGCUAUCAUCGUAUCAGCUUGGAAACUUGUUACAAGUGACUAAGAGCAACAGGGUCCGCUCCUCUAGAGUCGGUUAGUGCUCAAUAAUGUUACAGGUUUUAUAAUCUAUGUAACUGGUACGAUCGCUGUCUCAAGUGGUAAACUUUUGAGGCACAAAUUUAGAACGAAAAGUUCCCAAUAAAAUAAGUUAUUUAAUUAAUUAAAUAAGAAUAAAAUGAAUUUGUGAAAAAAAAUUUAAAUUUAAUUUUGAAUUAUUUUGACCAAAAUUUAAGUUUUUUUUUUUAAUUUGUUUAAGAAAAUGCGUUGUAAUUGUCUUGUUUUAAUUGGAAAAUCAAUGAAAAAAUUAUGUAAAAAAAAAAAGCAAAACGCUUUGUUUUGGAUGGAGGCCAUAGAUUCCAAUAUUUCCUUCACGAAAACUACAAAAAAAUUAUCAAAGGCAUCAAUUUCUACACUCUCACCGAGCAAUACUCUUAACCCAGAAGAAAGUGUAUAAACCAACCCCAAUCAGUCCAUCAAUGUCGUCAACCUCAUACAGCAUAAAAAAAAUAUGUGUCCAUUAAACCGUCUUUAUUGAGCCAUUAGACUAUUCGUAUCAUCUUCCCGUCUCGUUGUAGUAUUUUGCCGUUCAAAACUAGUUAUCAAUUGGGGAAAAUGGGGACCAAUCUGCAAGUCUUUAAAAUAGAAAGAAACUUUAAUUGGGCACUAUGUUCACGGUGGCAGACCCAGCAGCAGCUAUUUGUGCUUUAAAAAUAAUUUUACACAUUCUAAUUUUAAUAAAAAUAUAUAUUACAAAAUUACUUAUCAUAUAAGUUACUGGACAAUAUAUUAUAAGUCAACAUUAUAUAAUUACUUUGAACACUUAUAUAGCCCAAUCCUAAUUCAAUUUAUUAUUCUCAUAACUUAAAUAUAAGUCAACAAUAUAAGGGGGUUGUGACAUGGGUUUAAACAUGAUUUAACAAGUGCCACCUGUGAAUUGUCAGAGAUUGUAUUUUCAUACACAUGUCAAAUUUUCAAGUCCAACCAAAUAAAGUUAAAUAACUUAAAAAAUUUAAGUAAGGAUAUUUUUAAAUUUUUAAACAGUAUACAAAGUAAAGUUUAUUUUCUUGUCAGUGGCAAAUGAUCACGACAAGAAAUCUAAAGUAGAAACAGCAGAGCUCAACAAAUCACUAAGAGAAAAUAAGACCAAUAACCAAGCAGAUAAAAGAAAAGCAAAAUAACCCAUCUCAAAAUCACCACAUGCACAAUUUAAGGGGUUUGUGACAUGGGUUUAAACAUGAUUUAACAAGUGCCACCUGUGAAUUGUCAGAGAUUGUAUUUUCAUACACAUGUCAAAGGGUGGGCAUAUUUUAACCGAACCGAUCCAAACCGAUCCAAACCGACCAUUUGGUCGGUUUGGAUCGGUUUCAUUAGUAAAAAAACUGGUUUCGGUUUAUUGGAUUGCAAACCGACAUCACUCGGUUUGGAUUUCGGUUUGGAAUGAUUCCAAACCGAUUCAAACCGAUCCAAUCCAAAAAUAUUAUAUAAUUACAUUAUAUUUUAAGUUAAGCAAUCUAACUAAUUAUAUUUAUCAUUUUAUGCAGAUUUUGACAAAUCAAAACUAAUUAGGCCAUAAGUUUUGACGGACAAGAUGCACAAUAUUUUAAUUGUCAAAUGUUGUUCAAGUUUAUUUUAAUUUUGUGAGUUUGUUUUGAAUGAAUAUGUUAAGAACUUCUUUAUUAGGAUGUAUUAUACCGUAAACUUGUAUGGAUGUAUCUUUAAAUUGUUAUGUAGAUGUCAAAGUAGAUAUGAAUAAUAUAAAAGAGGUAUCAAUUUGGAUUACGGACACAAAAAAAUAACAAAUAAUUUAGGUAAAAUAAUAAAAAAAGUGGGCUUUUAGCUAAUAAACUCAAACUGAGAAUCCAAACCGAUCCAAACCGAUCCAGUCGGUUUGGAUCGGUUCGGUUUGAAAAAUUUUUAAGUUGAUAUCGGUUUGAAAAUAUUUCAAACCGAUAAGUUUGGAUCGGUUUGAGAAUAUGUCUCAAACCGAUCCAAACCGACUUUGCCCACCCCUACACAUGUCAAAUUUUCAAGUCCAACAAAUUGUUAUCUUUCUAAAGAGGCUAAUAUUAUUAUUAUCUAUGCAUAGCAUGCUAUAAACAAUUCAUAUUACUGGGCCUUUGUUUUGUGUACACAACAUAUGGACAGAGGAACAAAUGCCUGAGCUAAAAUCAUCAUAUUCCAAAAUAUUCUAUUAAAUCAGCACCACAAAACGCGAACGCUAAACAGAAUUGGAGCAAUUUACCAAAGCUAUUUGUCACGCAAAGCACUAGUACCUCAGAACCCAAUUUGCAAAAAAGCACCAAAAAUGAAAAAUAACAAAUGCCCAGAUGAAAAAUCAGGAAAAAAAAAAUGCUCAAAUCCAAAUUACAACCCCAUAAGUUGAGUCGUUCUCUUCGAACUGAAUUAAAAAUAAAUAAAAAAAUUAAAAUGGGGAGAUUGACCUCAAACUUUGGAAACAGAAGCGACAGCGAUCUGUUUCUUGUCUGGAGUGUCCAUUUCUAUAAUCUACUUUGUCCGUUUUCAGUUGCUCUGCCACAGAGCUUCUUCCCUCUGAAGCUGAAGCUCACACACACUCGCAAAACGAAAGCAUUUUUUAUUGAUUGAGAGGCGGGAAGGCGGGAAAAUGAGAGAAAUUUGCAUUUGUUUUCUCUUGGUUUGGUCAUACUUGUGCGGGCCCCAGCUUGACAAGCGGUAUUAUUACUAUUUGUAUAAUUUACAUGACGCGUGUCACGCAAUGACGAUAAAAAAUAUAUAUAUAUUGUUAAUUUUUCACUUAACAUUGAAAUAUCAUAUAAUUUUUCCAAUUUUUUGGUUAUUUUCUCGCCCUUAUGCCACAUUCUUUUGAUCAAAUAAUACAGUAAAACUUUUCUAUAAUCAUAAUAUUAGAGCCAAAUUAACUUUAUUUCUGUAAAGAGGCUAUAGCUUAAUAAAGGUAAAAUUAUAAAAAAAAUAUUAUUUUGACUCAGUUAUCUUUAGUGCAAGUGAUAUAAAGUACAAAUAUAUGAUAAUUAAUUAAUGAACUAUGUCAAAUACAAUAUGCUAACAAUGAUAAAAAAAGAUAGACAUAAUUUCAAGAAACUAUGUAUUUAUGUAGUGCUGGGAUUAUACAAAAUUAUCUUAAAAGUGUAAAGAGUAAAGUAUUAUUCUGAUUAAUUUAUAAAAAAAUUAUUUUAUCUUAAUCUUUAAUGCAACAUAGCUUUUUCUUUUCUUAACAACAAAGCAUUGUUUCAAAUAAUAAUUAUUGGAUUCAAAUCAUGUCCUAGGCAUUUUUUCUUCUAGUCGUCUUAAACUUUUAAUGAUUUAUUGGGAUGUGUCAAUCAUUAAUGAAAUUAAAUAACUAAGACUUUGUUUUAAUUAACGUUUACAUAAAUAGACAUCAAAACUCAAGUGUGAUUCUUAUCAAUUUUUUCCUGCAAAUUCUUUUCCUCUCAACUAUUCAUAUUUUGACAUUAAUUUCCAGCAAAUUAUUAAAAAAAAAAAGAAGCGUAAAAUGGAGAAAAGUGAUUGACAACAAGGUUUGCAUCUUAAUUUCAAAAUUUUCCUUUCUUUGCUAUUUUUGUGAGUUCUACAAUUGUUGUUUUCACUCUCAGCUGCAGUUCAAUGAACUCUAUUAAUAACCAUGAAGCUUAAUGUAUCAAUUCCAGUACGAGAAGUCCUUCUACGCAUGUUACAACACUUUUUGGUCAUUAUAGGUUGCAAAUGUUCCGUAAUGUACUCAUUCAUAUAACGGAAACGCUAUUAUCAAUAAUGAAAGUUGACUAAGUUUGUAAAUUCUAUUUAACGAAAAAGUAACAUAAAUUUAGUUGAACAAGAGGUAAUCAAUAUGUAAUCUAUGAAACUAGGGUGUGACUAAGUUACAUAGUAAUGUAACUUACAUGAACACAAAAAUAAUUAGUUUUUAAACUACAAGUAAUUUUGGAACUGCUCUUAAAUUGAUAUAAGUUUUAUUAUUAUGUAACUUAGCAAGGUCAGGUAUUUUAAUAAUAGCACAUCACUAUUGUUUCAUGUGAAUGAUGCAAUUGGAUUAGCCAAUACAUACUGUCAUCCCCGGGAGAUGCUAUGGCAAUAGCUUACUCUACCGUGCCAAUGUCAUUAGUAUUAAUCUGUUGAGCCUAAGACCAGAUCUAAGCUGAUCUAGAUUCCCCAAGAUCGCACACCACACAGUGAUUAAUGAAUCAAGAACAAUAAACCAUCAAAGAAUCGCAAACUUACAUGUCGGGUUACAUGUAAUAAAUGUUUUAAUUAUUAGAUGAUUCAUAAUGUUAGACCAUUUUUUGUAUGUUUUGUAAUCUACGUUUGAUAAUUUAAUUAGCUGAUAAACAUUUGAAUAAUAUUAUUUCAUUAGCUAUGUCAUUGAUCCCCAGGAAAAAAAAAAAAAAAACCAAUUUGGGAUGUUAUACAUUACUUCCCAUUUUAGAUUAAUAUUUAUCACAUAUAUUCUUAGUAACUUGUAACCCUUUUUGCUAAGGGUGAAAUGUGUUUGUUACCCCUUCUAUUUCUGAGAUUGUCCUUACAAUAAGGAUGCCGGCCCCAAUGUCAAAAACUGCUAUCUCUAGGUGUAAAUUCCUUAUAAAAUUCUUUUUUAAUUGAAAUUACUUAAAUAAUUGAAGAUAAAUUAAUUUUUUAUUUCAUUCAAAUAAAAAAAAAUAAUUAAACACUUAAAUAAGCUAUCCUUUUAAUUUUUUUUUUUACACCCAUCCAGUUUCAUAAUUUAUAUUUAUAAUUUAAAUUUUAAUGGAAAAUAUUUUUUUGAAAAAUUUUAAGAAUUAAGAAUUAUGGGGAUAAAAAUUAUGUAAUAAGAACAAAAUAAUUUAAAAUUUUAAAAUUUGCAUGUAUUAUAAACAAAAACUUGAAAGAAAUACUCUUUUCAGGGUGAGAUUUAAUCAGAAAAAGAUUAAUUUUCAUUUAUGGAUCAGUAUUUUAUAAAUUAAACAGAGGUAUUUUAAGAAAUAGAAUUCAAAAGGCAUGGGAAAGAAAUACUCUUUUCAGUAAUUAUAAUGCUGUGGAGCUUGUCGGAGAUUCCCUGCCCAUUUGUAGCUUAGACUCCUGGGGUUUUGUUCAUGUCUUGUCUGUAUCCCAAUUUCUCAUGCAGCAGAUGUACAUAUGAUGAGAUGAAAACAACAGCAAAAAUUGCUGUCUCAUAAGAGAAAUAGUCAUACAUAGUUGGUUAGGCCUCCUGUCCAUUAACUUAAUAAUGAAUUUUAUGAAAAUUGAUUAUCUCAUUGGAAUUACAUAGAUAUUGGAAAACAUUACUCCAGCCCCACCAUCCCAACCAUUUACUUAGUUCAUCAGUAAAAGCUGGAUUUUCCAUUUGUUCUUGAGAUUCAAAUUAAGGCAACAAGUUGCUCAUUCUAUAUUAUCUAUGUAAUCCUGUAAAAGUGAAGGGCGUUUAGAUGUGGAAAAACCUUACUCCUGCCGCAACACCUCAAACAGAUUGUGAUCAGACAAGACUUAGUUCAUCAUUAGUAGUAGUUGGAGCUUCCAUUUGUUCUAGAGAUUUAAAGGCAGCAAGCUGCUUCCUCAGUGCUACUAAUUCUUCCCCGGCAUUGCAUAUGUAGCCUGAGGCUUGUCUACCAGACAAAGUUGCUCCUUCCCUGCUGUACCGUACAUCCGCCUUGGCCGUACAGCAGGUAAAGAGUAAAGUAUUAUUCUGAUUAAUUUUAAAAAAUUAUUUUAUCUUAAUCUUUAAUGCAACAUAGCUUUUUUUUUUUCUUAGCAACAAAUCAUUGUUCCAAAUAAUUAUUAUUGGAUUCAAAUCAUGUCCUAGGCACUUCCCCGGCAUUGCAUAUGUAGCCUGAGGCUUGUCUACCAGACAAAGUUGCUCCUUCCAUACUAUCUAUGUAAUCCAGUGAGAGUGAAACCAUUUAGAAGACGUAUCUCUUUCUUUCCAAUAUUUAGAAUGAAACAAUUAUAUACAGUUACCUGUUUUGCAUAUGAGCCGGUGAGGAAGAAGUUCUUCACUGGUGUCUUUUGAUCACGUCUGAAGGGGUCUUUACCAGGUCCCUCACCGCACAUAGAUUGCCCGAUUUUGACGAAAGAUGACCAAAUAACUUCCAAACCUUGGGAUGAUGGAAAUGGAGCUAAAACCUAAUAAAAGGAACCGUGAAUGGAUAGUAUGGACUCAUGUAUAUUAUCCAGAAAGUUGCAUGACCUUUUGUGGUACUCAGGUCACUAAAAAACGUGAGAUAAACAUCUAGGAUAAGAAAAGCAAAAAAGCAUAACCUAAUACGUAUUAUAUGAAUUGAAGGUGUCACUGAACGCUACCAACCUGCUUUGCCACUCUCCUUAUGAUUUCAUCAUUUGGUAAGGGCAUAUAAGGAUCUCCAGGCGUCAAAACGCGUCUGAAAGAUAAUAUGGUUAUAGUAAACAACAUGGAAUACAAAGACACUUGGCAAAAGGAAGUCAAUCAGAUUCCAUGCACAAAAAAUAACUAAUAAUGACGACGAUAAGAAAUUUUUCACACCGGAGCCUUCUCUAUAGUAGUCUUCUGGUGAAGUAAGUGCUAGAUCUGCAAAGCAAGAGAAAUCUGCAUCUGGAGUAUAUAAAAGGUUAUCUAACCCCACAGCUUGCCUCAAUUGCCUACAUGUUCAAAACAAGGAUCUAUUAAAAAAUGGAAAUUUCUUCAAUGCAUUAGUGAAGGGAAGUGAAGUGAAAGCGGAUUUCUUAAGCCUUCACAGAGCAUCUUGUGUUUGAAUUCCGGUAACCUCACAAAAGAUUAGAGCAUCACCUUGACCGUUCUAGGUCUUGCAACUCAGUAACCCAACCAUUGUAUCUAAGCUGCACUGUGACAACAUGAACUCCAACGAGCUCAUAAAUAUUGUUGAAAAAUUUCAUUUCCCUCCAGCCUCCACAAUGAUGAAAGCAAUCUUUUAAUUCCAGGGACAUCACAUGCUGCCAUUAAAUAAGAAGUUGAAUAAAGAAAAAUCGUUCAACUAAAUGAUUCAGGAGUUAAAAAAAAAUGUAGAAGUAGAAAUAAAUAACAAAGAUUUAACCAUAAACCUGCAACAUUUGCAUCAGCUUGCACAACCUUCUUGUCAGUGGCCUGAAAUAGAAUGAGAAAUUGAAAGACAGUAAGCAUUAAAGAAUAAACUCAAAGAAGCUGCUUCUAACAGAUGAUAUAAACAAUAAAUUUACAAAUGUCAGUGUUAAGCAAAUAAAAGCACCAGGUCGGCCAUGAUACUAUUUCCACCCCGGCAUGAAUCACCUCAGCCAAAUGGUACGAGCAGAACAGGGGGUAACAUGAGCCGAUCCGAGACGAAUACUGACCAGAGCCAUAUACCGAGCCGGUACCCGUCCCCCAAAAAGUGGAAACACGAUCUCACAGAAUCACGGUAGUUGCGUUUUCCCAGAACCGUUGCGGGAGACGCGAGAUCCCAUGUUUGCCCAUAAUGCAGCAGUUAGAGUCCCAUGAGAGGCUACCACUACCCGAAAAAGGUGGGAUGAAGGGCAAACGGGAACGUGGGGACAGCGGCUAUAAAAGAAGAAGAAAUCGAUGAAGAAGGGGACAGAAAAAUGAAGAGAGGGAAAACGCUGCCAAAUUGCAAUUAGGCAUUUUUUACAAACUUCGAAACAAGUUAGAAACCAUUCUUGAAUCCAAAUUACAUUGUUUUCCCGUAAACACCUUGUGCUAACUUAGGCAUCGGAGGGUUUACGCCGGCAAAACCACCGGCGUCUCUGAUCCGUUUUUGGUGAACGCAGGUCUAGUAGGAGACCCACCAAGCAAAACUAUUAGUAGUUUUAAGUGAUCAAGAAAUAACCAUACCACCAAUUUCACCACCCUUAUUUACAAAUGUAUGAGUAUGAUCCUUCAUGAGUAAAUUUUUGUCCACACCUACCUGUCGAAAUGCUUGAAAAACUAUCAGAUCAUAAACACAGGCUCCAGUUAAAGAGGAUCUAUGAUUCUGAUCCAUCAUGUUAUUUGAACAACAUUUUCGAAUUUUGGUACAACCCUAAGCUAUAAUCAGUUGUAGUGGUACAACCCUAAGCUAUAAUCAGUUAUCAUCACUACAAAUGAUAUGGUCAAGAGGAAUGAUAGUUCUUGUUUCAAGUAUCUCAAAUCAUAAUUCUUUUGCAUGGCUUGUGUGCUUUUAUAAUCAUUCAAAUACGCAUAUCCACAACUAAGCAAGCUUUACCAUUUUCAUCAAUCGGAAGAGAUUAUUGUAGCAUCCAAAGAAAACGUGCAGGCCCAUUUCAAUAUGGUUUUCACGUUUAUCGACAAAUGAACCCACUUUACCACCAAUAAAAGACCUCGACUCAUAUAUAUCCACCUGGAAGAAAGGAAAAGUUAAAAAAAAAAAGUGUUGAGAAUUAUGUUUGAUUAAACUUAAUUCUUUCCCCAAGAAAUCUCCACACACUGAUCUUAUUGAAACAAGAAUGAAUACCCAAGAUAGUAAUCAGAAAUAAAGCAAGAGUGUUUAGACAGAAAUAGAGAUUAAAAGCAUAGAAUAAACCGGACACAAGGAGAAUUAUAGAGGUUCGGCUGGGUAGCCUACAUCCUCUUGAGAAACAGAAGCCAUAGCUUUUCUUUGAUGCUUAACAGAUUACAAGACUUAGAGAGUUUGUUACAAAGAACGUUGGUUAUCUAAACUUGGCCUUGGAGACCUUAUAUACAGCUCUCGAAGGAUCCAGAUAAGUGUGCUGCUUGCCAGCUCUUGUUCUGGGUUUGUUGAAACAAACCCAGAAAGUUCCCGCCAAGGCUAACCGUUGAUAACAGCCUUUUAAUUAGAAACGACACUUGCUGCUGCCGUUUAACUAAAGCUUGAAUCCGUAGAUGCUCGUGCAAUUCACGUGCAUUACUUAAGCUAUUCGUGUGACAGGAUAUGGUUGUCAUAUGCACAGCAUUAUCUGUCUGAUUGCUUUGUCGUUACUUGAUUAAUCCUAGACACGACAAAGUCAUCUUCUCCGUAAGCUCUUAAUUCAGGUUCACAAUUAACAAAAAGGAAUAAAAAUUCUUCUAAUUUCUUACACCAUCAACAAAAUCAGAAUAACACAUACUAGUUCAAAAUGAAAUAAAGUUUGUGAAUUGAAAUAAUGCCAACUCCUAAGAAAAAUUAUGACUGCUGAUAUUUUUUCCGAAACGCUGAUAAAAGCCUCUGCUAUUUACUUUGAAAAAAUUGAGGUUAGAAGCCAAUUUACUUGAAAUUUUUGAGUUUAGGCAAGAGGAUGAAUGGUAAAACUGAAACAUAUUAGGGAAAAAUGUACUUCAGAGGCCAAUGAAAGCAUUCAGAAGAUUGAAAACUAAAUGAGCAAAACCUCGUGGCCAUGAUCCAACAAUUCCACUGCUGUUGACAUGCCUGCAAGCCCAGCUCCAAUAAUAGCCACUUUCAGCUUUGGUCCUCUAUAAUGUUCCGGUUCUGGUAGAAACAAACCCUUGGGAGCUGCCAAGUAUACCAUCCAAUUAUCCACAGACUCCAAUCCAUAAACAAUUCUGCCACAAAUUCAAUCCAAAAUUGUUCAACUGCACCGCCAAUUCUCCAUCAAUUCCCUCAAAAAUUCAUAAUUGCCAAACACUGCAAACCAAAAAGAGCUUCCAGCAAUAAACGCAUAAAAAUCCGCCAAACAACAUAAAACAAAAUACCUAGAAACCAGAAAAGCCAAAAGAUCAAUGCUUGGCAAACAAGCAAAUCAAAUAAAACAAAAAGAAGAGAAAUUUACCAUUAACGCUCAUAUCAGAAACAUUCGUGUCCAAAGAAGCCCGUACGUGGAAUCGUGGACCCUUCACUUGAACCCGAGACCAUUUAACGCCAGUAACUGAAGUUGCAGGAAGCAGAAGUGAAGAACCCAUAUUGCAAAUCCUGAGCUGAAAUCAAGAAAUUCAAUUGGAACUCAAUUCAACUCAACCCAGCUGAGCUCUCUUUUGCUUCAAUAACAAAGUGUUUUUCUUUUAUAUCAACAAAGAUUUGUCAACAUCAACAAAAUUUAACUAAGAAACUAAAAUAAUAAAAGAGGGCACCUUUGAGUUUAAGAAUCUAACAAGAUGCUAAGGAAGAGAGUUUUGUCAGGGAACUGUUUCGGAGAGGUUGGCCAAGUGCUUUUUUGUUUGUUUGUUUGUUUUUUUUUUUUUUUUUUUUUAUCAUUUUGGCCCUUUUCAUUAAUACACAACAUUAGUACUCGCGAAGAGCACAAAAUGUUGGUGACUUUGUCACUAACGAUAAUGGAUGGAGCGACCAAAGCAACCAACUAAAUUUUAAAGAGAGGGAAUGACAAGCAAUAUUUUAAUUGGGUGAUUAAUUAAUGUAUUAUCAAGCAAUUGCAUUUAUUUAUUUAAACGAGGGUUUGGCUACAAUGCCGUUGGCAUUGUAGCCGGCACCAUGCCGGGCUCUCAAAAAGAGAGCCCGGCUGUCUUUGGCUGCCAUCUGGCAGCCAAAGACUUGGUGCAGCCAGUUAACAAACCGGUUGCACCAUAUUUUUUUAAAAAAUAUAUUAAAAAUAUAAUAUAAAAAUAAAAAAAUUAAAUAAAAUGUCAAAAAUAAUUUUUUAUCUGCUGUACGGCCAAGGCGGAUGUACGGUACAGCAGAGUGUUUAGACAGAAAUAGAGUUAACGUCCGUUGUUGCAUGUCCGACGUUCGACUUGCAUGUUUGACGUUAGAUGUUGCAUGUUUUGGAUAAAUCCAAAAUAAAGAAUAUUCUCGAAUAUUCUCGCCCGUUUCAUGUUUGACGUCCAAGUUGCAAACUUUACGUGAUAAGUUGUAUAUUUCACGUGCAGUGUUGCAGGUUGCAUGUUUAACGUCCGUUAUUGCAUGUCGGACGUCCUGCUUGCAUGUUUGACGUUCGAUGUUGCAUGUUUUGGAUAAAGCCAAAAUAAAGAAUAUUCUCGAAUAUUCUCGUCCGUUUCAUGUUUGACGUCGAAGUUGCGAACUUUACGUGAUAAGUUGCAUAUUUCUCGUGAAGUGUUGCAAGUUUCAUAUUUAACGUUAGUUGUUGCAUGUUCGACGGUCGGAUUUCAUGUUUGAUGUAAGCUGUUGCAUGUCUUGAAUAAAGUCAAAAUAAAGAAUAUUCUCGAAUAUUCUCGUCUGUUUCAUGUUUGACGUCGAAGUUGCAAACUUUACGUGAUAAGUUGCAUAUUUCACGUGCAGUGUUACAGGUUGCAUGUUUAACGUCCGUUGUUGCAUGUCGAACGUCACGGUUGCAUGUUUGACGUAAGCUGUUGCAUGUCUUGAAUAAAGCCAAAAUAAAGAAUAUUCCCGAAUAUUCUCGUCUGUUUCAUGUUUGAUGUCGAAGUUGCGAACUUUACGUGAUAAGUUGCAUAUUUCUCGUGAAGUGUUGCAAGUUUCAUAUUUAACGUUAGUUGUUGCAUGUUCGACGGUCGGAUUUCAUGUUUGAUGUAAGCUGUUGCAUGUCUUGAAUAAAGUCAAAAUAAAGAAUAUUCUCGAAUAUUCUCGUCUGUUUCAUGUUUGACGUCGAAGUUGCGAACUUUACGUGAUAAGUUGCAUAUUUCUCGUGAAGUGUUGCAAGUUUCAUAUUUAACGUUAGUUGUUGCAUGUUCGACGGUCGGAUUUCAUGUUUGAUGUAAGCUGUUGCAUGUCUUGAAUAAAGUCAAAAUAAAGAAUAUUCCCGAAUAUUCUCGUCCGUUUCAUGUUUGACGUCGAAGUUGCGAACUUUACGUGAUAAGUUGCAUAUUUCUCGUGAAGUGUUGCAAGUUUCAUAUUUAACGUCAGUUGUUGUAUGUUCGACGGUUGGAUUUCAUGUUUGACGUAAGCUGUUGCAUGUCUUGAAUAAAGCCAAAAUAAAGAAUAUUCUCGAAUAUUCUCAUCCGUUUCAUGUUUGACGUCGAAGUUGCAAACUUUACGUGAUAAGUUGCAUAUUUCACGUGCAGUGUUGCAGGUUGCAUGUUUAACGUCCGUUAUUGCAUGUCGGACGUCCUGCUUGCAUGAAGUUGUUGCAUGUUCGACGGUUGGAUUUCAUGUUUGACAUAUGAUGUUGCAUGUUUUGAAUAAAGCCAAAAUAAAGAAUAUUCCCGAAUAUUCUCGUCCGUUUCAUGUUUGACGUCAAAGUUGCAUAAUUUACGUGAUAAAUUGCAUAUUUAACGUGACUUGUUGCGGGUUUCAUGUUUUACGUCUAUUGUUGCAUGUUGGACGUCACGGUUGCAUGUUUGACAUUAGAUGUUGCAUGUCUUGAAUCAAGCCAAAAUAAAGAAUAUUUCCGAAUAUUCUCGCUUGUUUUAUAUUUGACAUCAAAGUUGCAUACUUUACGUGAUAGGUUGCAUGUUUGACGUAAAAUAUUGUAGGGUAGGUUUAUAUAAAAUAACUAAUUAUAAAAUGAGAGUGCAUUUCAAAAUUCCUUGACAAAUCAAGUGAUAAUUUAUAACUAAACUUAUUUUUUUCAAAUUUUUUAUUAUUAAUUAAGUUUAAUUAAGCCAAUCUAUAAAGAAACAAAUGAAAAUAUAUUAAAAUUAAAUUAAAUUCAACUUUUACCCAAUAAAUAUAUUUAGGAAUAUAUCUAAUUAAACUGGUACACAAAUUACAAAUGUUUUCAUGAAAUUACACACAUAAGUUUAAUAGUCUAACUAUUUUUUACAUGAUUGAUAAAAUGAUGGCUUUGGAAAGAACUUGUGAUUUGAAAAGAAAAAUCUAGUUAAUUAUAAUAAAAUUACAUAUCUAAUCCNNNNNNNNNNNNNNNNNNNNNNNNNNNNNNNNNNNNNNNNNNNNNNNNNNNNNNNNNNNNNNNNNNNNNNNNNNNNNNNNNNNNNNNNNNNNNNNNNNNNNNNNNNNNNNNNNNNNNNNNNNNNNNNNNNNNNNNNNNNNNNNNNNNNNNNNNNNNNNNNNNNNNNNNNNNNNNNNNNNNNNNNNNNNNNNNNNNNNNNNNNNNNNNNNNNNNNNNNNNNNNNNNNNNNNNNNNNNNNNNNNNNNNNNNNNNNNNNNNNNNNNNNNNNNNNNNNNNNNNNNNNNNNNNNNNNNNNNNNNNNNNNNNNNNNNNNNNNNNNNNNNNNNNNNNNNNNNNNNNNNNNNNNNNNNNNNNNNNNNNNNNNNNNNNNNNNNNNNNNNNNNNNNNNNNNNNNNNNNNNNNNNNNNNNNNNNNNNNNNNNNNNNNNNNNNNNNNNNNNNNNNNNNNNNNNNNNNNNNNNNNNNNNNNNNNNNNNNNNNNNNNNNNNNNNNNNNNNNNNNNNNNNNNNNNNNNNNNNNNNNNNNNNNNNNNNNNNNNNNNNNNNNNNNNNNNNNNNNNNNNNNNNNNNNNNNNNNNNNNNNNNNNNNNNNNNNNNNNNNNNNNNNNNNNNNNNNNNNNNNNNNNNNNNNNNNNNNNNNNNNNNNNNNNNNNNNNNNNNNNNNNNNNNNNNNNNNNNNNNNNNNNNNNNNNNNNNNNNNNNNNNNNNNNNNNNNNNNNNNNNNNNNNNNNNNNNNNNNNNNNNNNNNNNNNNNNNNNNNNNNNNNNNNNNNNNNNNNNNNNNNNNNNNNNNNNNNNNNNNNNNNNNNNNNNNNNNNNNNNNNNNNNNNNNNNNNNNNNNNNNNNNNNNNNNNNNNNNNNNNNNNNNNNNNNNNNNNNNNNNNNNNNNNNNNNNNNNNNNNNNNNNNNNNNNNNNNNNNNNNNNNNNNNNNNNNNNNNNNNNNNNNNNNNNNNNNNNNNNNNNNNNNNNNNNNNNNNNNNNNNNNNNNNNNNNNNNNNNNNNNNNNNNNNNNNNNNNNNNNNNNNNNNNNNNNNNNNNNNNNNNNNNNNNNNNNNNNNNNNNNNNNNNNNNNNNNNNNNNNNNNNNNNNNNNNNNNNNNNNNNNNNNNNNNNNNNNNNNNNNNNNNNNNNNNNNNNNNNNNNNNNNNNNNNNNNNNNNNNNNNNNNNNNNNNNNNNNNNNNNNNNNNNNNNNNNNNNNNNNNNNNNNNNNNNNNNNNNNNNNNNNNNNNNNNNNNNNNNNNNNNNNNNNNNNNNNNNNNNNNNNNNNNNNNNNNNNNNNNNNNNNNNNNNNNNNNNNNNNNNNNNNNNNNNNNNNNNNNNNNNNNNNNNNNNNNNNNNNNNNNNNNNNNNNNNNNNNNNNNNNNNNNNNNNNNNNNNNNNNNNNNNNNNNNNNNNNNNNNNNNNNNNNNNNNNNNNNNNNNNNNNNNNNNNNNNNNNNNNNNNNNNNNNNNNNNNNNNNNNNNNNNNNNNNNNNNNNNNNNNNNNNNNNNNNNNNGGUCAAUUUCAAUAAAAUUACAACUUACUAGAGUAAAUCCAUCUACUAAACAUCCAAAGUUCACAACAUAAUAUUUGAAUAUCACCAAUAACAUCCCCAAUCCUAAAGAUUGCAACAAAUUCAUGUAACAUUUGAGGGUAUUGUUUGGGGGUAAAAAUAACGUGACCAAGUACACAUAAGUAGAACGUGCACCCCUCAGUCGGCCUAAGGCGACUCCUUGAGGAAAGUCUUCCCCGAUGAGUUGAGCAUUGGAGGGUUUAUGUUAGAAAAAUCUCCGACAUCCCCUAACUAGUUGUUAUGAACGCAAGCAUCCUUGGAGAAAGAGCUUGAGGUCCCAAGAGCCUAUUCGAUAAGAAAGAUAGAAGUACAAACCGACUCCCCAACAACUACUAAUUUAAGUGUUGGCGUGGUUGUCUGGUCGCUUCACAGCUCGACGAGAAUUCAACAUCAACAAAUAUUUUAGAACCUAGUGUAUCUUCAAUCAUUUUGGAUUAAAUUGUAUGACACUUUUUUCUUUUCUUCUCUUUUUUUGUGAAAACAAAUUUUAAUACACUUAUUUUAAAAGAAAUUUGUUAAUGAAAAACAAAAUAAUGACAAUGAAGAGCACUCAUUUAUAAAAAUAAGCUACAAAUAGAAAAACAAAAUUCAUAUAAGUAGAAUCUCCCAAAAAAUAAAAGCAUUGUCGAAUUGAGUUACAAACUAAUAAUAAUUUCAUCAAAGUUUGUAAACCAAAGAUUGUCCUAAUAUCAAAAAGUUUCCAAUAAAACACUUAUGCCAGAUAAUUUAUAGAACCUAGUAAUAUCCAACUGAAUUCUCCCCUGGAAAUAAUUAAAAUUUUCAAGUUAGUCAAUAAGAAAAAACAGCCAUCAAUCAUAAUAAGAAGCAACAGCAAAUUACACUAAAAAAAGCCGUACAGCAGAACAACAAAUAUAAACAAGAAACAACAAUUAAAAAAAACCCAAAAAUGGCAUAAAAAGAUGCUCAAAGCAGCAAUAAAUUUAUAAAAAAUACCCUAAAAUAGCAGUGAAAAGUGCUUUAAAAAGCAUUAAAAAAAUCCAAAAACAAUAGUAAACAUGCCUAGAAAUAGUAGAAAAAAACCCCCUAAAAUAGCAAGAAAACUGCCUAAAACUAGAAAAAAAUCUAGCAGCAAAAUCUUCCAUUGCUAGAUAAAGCUAUGAAAGAAAAGAAAUAAAAUUCAUAAAGAGUCAAAGCUAACAUACUGACCACUUGCUAGAAAUUAAGCUAUAAAUCCCAAAUUUUUACAACAAAUUAGUAUCUGAAACAAGAUUGGUUUGAUAUAUGAUAGUCAAGUAAAAUACCUAUAAAGUAGUACAAAUUCAGCAAACCUAAUGGCUUCACUCCACUCAUUUUCUUAAGACUCCAGUGAUGAGAAGCUGCCAACAGAAUGAUAAAUUGAGGUUUGACAGGAAGCACACAAACUAAACAAGAUACAUAACAACUUUGUUAUCCAUGUUACACCCUAGAACCAUUUCUAGGAAUAUUUGUUAGAAUAGCCACCAUAACAGUUGAUGAGCAACAUAAAACAGAGACAACAACAAAACCAGCAACCUGCAAAGUGCCAAUUCUUCCAUAAUUAAAUCAGAUACACAAUAGAAAUAAUUUACUAUUAAAAUCCCAAAUUCAUUUUAUCUUCUUCCUGCAUUUUCUCAUCAAUCAAACAUAAAAGAGAGCUCCUAUCGACACAUGCAAACAGCACCCACCAUCUUGUCGCAUUCAAACACAACCCAAGAUCACAAAAGUUAAUUUUCUAGAUUUAGUUAACCAAAGAAAAUAUACCAUCAACUGGAUCACCUUAUAAAUCAAAUACAAUUCCACAAUAUUACCAACCUCCCAAAAAAAAAAGGCACAAACUUUAAAAUGAAAACAACAACACCAUGAAAAAUAAGCAAAAGUGGGUAUUUAAAUCAAACAUGAUAGAAUGCAACAAAAGCAAAAAAGCUUUCGAUAGAAGCCAAAGCUAGAUGGGGUACAAGCAAGCUAGGAGGUACCAAUUAAAGAUGCUUCAUUCAAGAACAGAAAAGCUACCAGAAUGAUAAAAGUAGAAAAAAUGAAACAAUAAACAGAAAAUUGGGUGAAAGCUGCAACAAUAGUUUCAAUCACUUAACAGUACCAGCAAACUUAUAGUAAACUUUAAGAACCAGAUGUUUAAGCCACAGAUAACGGGGACGUACCCAUGAGGAUAAAGACACAAGCGUGAGACCAGCAAAGCCGCCCAUCCUCAACUUGUGCUAAAGCCGCCCAUCCUUAACUUGUGCAGGAAACAAAGUCGAAUGAAAAAGGAGGCAACGACGGUAGCGACGAAAACAGCUGGAUCGGAAGCGAACAGCUCAAGAUGAAAGCAACAAGUUAAUGGAUUGGAUUGUGUGCGUGAGAUGUGGCUUCGAUUUUAUUUGAUUAGUCAAGAAAUCGAAGAGAGAAAUUAGAGAGAAAUUUGUGAUUUCUGAGAGAGAGGCAAGAAAUUGAGAGAGAUUGGGCACGGUUGAAACACCUAAAUUAUAAAAAUAUAAAUUUUGCAGCCUUUGGGAACUGGUUGCUUCGGUUGCCCUUUUUUUGUUUUUUUUUUUAUUUCUUUUCAAUGUCAGCCGUUGGAUUCAUUUUACUUGAAUCCAACGACUGCAUUUACAAGCCAGCACAAUGCCGGGCCUCAAUGCCCGGCAUUGUAGCUUUAGCCUUUAAACGAUGUCCUUAUCGUUGGACAAGGUUGAGGAAAGACAGCGAUGUUGUGUUGUCACGUAUUUUUGGGCCGACCGUUUCCAGUUCCGGCUUAAAUGAGGCUUUUGUAUUUUUGUGCCCUUUUUUUUACUGAGUAUUUUGUCCUAAAUUACACCAAAGAAAAUGUGGACUUUAGAAUGUGACAGUAUUGAUAUCUAAGUUCAUAAUAUCAUGAUAAAACAAAUAAAUGAAUAGAAAUGUAAAUAAAUUUGGUUAAAAUUUAAUGGCUUCGAAUUCGGUAUGUUAUCAAACAAAUCAUACUCUUAGGAUUUGGAUUCAAUUCAUUUAUUAAUUGGAUGUCUAUUUAAUUCGUUUAUUAUACAAAAUUAAAUGAAUUGAAUUGAAUUUAGAUUCAUUUACAAUUUGUUUAAUUUAUUUAUGUAAAAUUAAUAAUAAAUCAAUCAAAUGUGGAUUUGUUUAAAAAAUAAUAAUAAUUAAUAACAAAAAUCAAGCAAAGUAAAAUAGAAAAAAAAUCAUAAAAUUAACAACCUACAAAAUAAAAACGAAUUAGUGACCGCAAACUUGAAUUCAAUUCAUUUAUUUAACGAAUUGAAUUGAAUUCACUUAUUUGUUAAUGAAUCAAUUUUUUUUUUAAAAUUCAAACCUAUUUAACUUGAAUCAAAUAAACACAUCCUAAUCUAAAUUGUCACCUCUAAAUAUGAUGGACCUAUUUAAAAUAUAUGAAUACCAAAAUGUGUGGGCUAAAAAGUGGUUUACCAUGCAACAAUACAAAGUUUAAGCUCUCUUUUCUUAUGUCAUCCAAGGCAUUGCCUAGAUCGCCAAACACUAGAGUUCAAGUCUACAAUAAAGAAUCGAAAUUUUCCUUUGUAUAUGUUCGUAAGUAUUUAGCAUAGAUUUUUUAGUUAUACUUGAUAGAUCCCCUACCAUAUUUGCUAUAAUAUUUCUCUUCUAUUUAAAAGUAAAUAAUGCAUAAUAACGGAUUUGUAAAGAAAUGAAAUUUCCAGUAAUUAUCUGAAAAAAAAAAGAUGGAUUAAGCGAAAGAAGUUAAUAUAGAGUAAGUCGAGUACUUGACAAUUAAAGUAAUUUUACUCGAGGUUGAGUAAGGAUAGUAGGAUACUUUCCCAAGUUUUCCGAGGACAUUCAUGUAACAUUGGACUAUUGACUAUAGUUAGAGAGAAGUCCUAGGAUGUAAGUGAUGAUGAUAGAUUCACAAUUCUUUUGAAGAAAAUAUUUUAUAUAAACUUAAUUAUAUGGUAUAAAAUGAUUGGCCUUAAUAAAAUUAAAAAAUAAUAAAAAUAAUACACGCCUGGGUCAUGCAAUAUUUUCAACCAACUAAUUUACACGCAAAAUUAAACCUUAUGAGUGAGAACAUUAUGGUACAUUUAUUUGCUAGCAAAAACUCCGCAAAAAUUUUCCGAAGUGUGAAAAUGAACACUUUUAACAAUGGCACAAAAUUCCCACCCCCCAUGAUUAAUUCUCUUAUCUGGAAUAUUAGGGGGCUUCCCCUGCGGAAAUUAGUUCGAUUACAUCGAUUGUCUUUGAUUUGUGUGUUGGAGCCAUUUAUUUCCGUUGAUCGUUUAGAGGCUCUUCGGGUGCGACUUGGGAUGGAUCAUGCUUUAUCUUCCCAAUCUGGGAAGAUUUGGGUUUUCUGGUCCGCACCUUUCUCGGUGGAGCUUUUGCAUGACAUGGGCAAGGUGAUUUAUUAUCGGGUUAGUCACUCUUUUUUUCCUGAUCCUGUGUAAGUUUCAUAUGUGUACUCUAGUUGUUAUAUGGAUGUGCGAGAGAAUUUAUGGGAUGCUCUUAAGACCUUUGUGGAUAGUCAUGACCUACCUUGAAUCGUGGGGGGAGAUUUUAAUAUGAUUCAGGCGGUCUCGGAGAUUUCUGGCUGGCAUCUACAGACUCGGGGAGCUAUUGAUGCCUUUAAUUUAGCGUUGCUUGAUUGUGGGUAGGAGGAUGCUAGCUUUGUUGGCAGUCCUUUUACUUGGACUAAUGGGCGCCCAUGGAGGCAGCUUGAUAGGGUGGUCUGCAACACUCACUAGUAUGCUUUCUUCUCAGUAUUUCGGGUCUCUCAUCUGAAUCGUACUGCCUCAUAUCAUUCUCCUUUGCUUUUUUUUUGGUGAUCGGGACGCUGUUAAAGGACCUUUACGGUUUAAAUUUCUUCAUGUGUGGCUCAUGCAUCCAGGUUUUCUUGAUACUGUGCGGCAGUCUUGGGGUGCUCCGGUGGUUGGUUUUGGAAUGAGAGCCUUUCAACAAAAACUCACUCGGUUAAAGUUCUGCCCAAAAGCUUGGAACAAAAAUGUCUUUGGUAACGUUUUUUAUCGGGUCCAACAAGCAGAGGAGGACGUGGCUCAGAAGGAGAGAUUGUAUGAUAUUUCUGGCUCCGCCGAUUACAGAGCUAAUUUUUCUGAGGCCAGGGCCUGGUUGCAGCAUGCUUUGCUUCGUGAGGAGAUUUUUUUUUGCGUCAGCAGUCCUGUGUUCGAUGGGUUCGAGAGGGCAAUACUAAUACCUAUUUUUUCCAUGCGAUGAUCCGGAAAAAGCGCCAGUUGUUUUAUAUUCACAGGAUUCGAGUUGAUUGUUUCUCAGAGUGGAUUUCUGAGCCCUCCGCCAUUGUAGAUUAUGAUGUCGAUUAUUUUCAAGAUUUAUUAACGGGAGAUGCCAGUCAAUUUCAGCAGACGGACUUCGAAGUUAUUCCAUCUCUUGUGUCUGUAGAGGAUGAUGUAGAGUUAUGUAGAGAGCCGUAUAUGGAUGAGAUUAGACAUGCGGUAUUUUUUAUUGAUCCAGAUAGUGCUCCUGGACCGGAUGGUUUUUGUAGCAGAUUCUAUCAGUCGUGUUGGGACAUCAUUUGCCAUGACUUGUUAAAUGUUGUCCUCGAUUAUUUUAGAGGUUCGGCAUGCCCAGAGGUUUCCAAAGUACUUUAUUGGUCUUUCUGCCUAAGAAGGCUUCUCCGGCUUCUUGGGCUGAUUUCCGUCCAAUUAGUCUUUGUAAUGUGAGCAACAAGGUCCUUACUAAGUUGCUUGUCCCAUCUCCUGCCUCACAUUAUUUCUCCUACUUAGAGUGGUUUUAUUCCUGGUCGAGUGAUUCAUGAUAACAUGCUCCUGGCUCAGGAGUUCGUUCACGAUCUCAAUCGCCAUACUCGAGGGAACAAUGUGGUUCUGAAAUUAGAUAUGGCGCAGGCAUACGACGUAUGUCAUGGCCUUUUAUUAUUAAGAUGAUUCACUGUUUUAAGUUCUCGAAGCGUUGGAUUGCUUUGAUUUGGCGAGCGAUUUACGGUCCUUAGUUUUCAGUGCUUAUGAACGGGGUCAGUAACAUAUAUUUCCAGUCCCAGAGUGGUCUUUAGCAGGGUGAUCCCCUUUCCCUUUGCUUAUUUAUUAUUGCUGCAGAAUUUUUAUCUCCAGGCUUAGAUCAUUUGUAUUCUCAAUAUCCCUCUGUUCGGUAUUGUUAUACUGCACCUACUUCUAUCUCCCACUUGAGUUUUGCGGAUGGUAUUGUUAUUUUUGCAAAUGAGAGCCGAUCUAACUUACAGUGGCUUGUGGAUUUCUUACACCAUUAUAAGGCGAUCUCAGGGCAGUUGAUUAGCGAGGACAAGAGUAACUUCUACAUUGGGAAGCCAGCUUCGACCUCCCGCCAGGCCAUUGUUCACUCUGUGCUUUCAGUGACGUCAGCUUCCGUUUACUUAUCUUGGGUGCCUGAUCUUUACAGGGCACCUCAAGAUCUCCUAUUUUGAUGACAUGGUCCGGAAGGUCAAGGAUAAGAUUUCUGGCUGGGCUAACCGUCUGCUUUCCUUUGGUGGGAAUCUCGUCCUCAUUCGCCAUGUGUUAUCCUCUAUGGCCCUGCACUUAUUUCACGUCCUCCGUCCUUUUAUAACGGUAGUUUAACGCCUAGAGCGAUUAUUCACCCGAUUCCUAUGCGGUGAUUUUGAGGGAAGACACCGGAUCCACUAGUGUAGAUGGCCAAAGGUUUAUUAUCCAGUUGACGAGGGUGGCCUCGAUAUACGAUCUUUUGAUGAUAUGGCGGAGGCUUUUGAGAUUAAACUUUGGUGGCGGUUUUGUUAGCAGAGUUCCUAUAUGAAGUCUAAGUAUUGCAGAUCUACGCAACCAAGCCUUAUCCAGUUUCGCUAUCUUGCCUCUCCUUUAUGGAGACACCUUUAUAAGAUUCGUUGCACGACUAAACCUCAUGUGCGUUGGCUCGUUAGGAGUGGAGAUUGUAGCUUCUGAUAUGAUUGUUGGCUGAGUUCUUGCCCUUUAUUUUUUUAUAACCCUACAACGGCUUUGUCGGUGUCGGUCUAGUUCUUUUGGCAGGGUACAAUCUGGGACAAAGGCAAACUAAAGGAUGUCUUGCCUUCAUCUAUUGUUGAGCAGAUCCUAUUAGUGCCUAUUUCUAGUGGGAAUCCAGACCUGAUUCGUUGGGACCUUGCCCCCGAUGGCACGUUUAACUUGCGGACUGCUUGGGAGCUUGUACGGUGCUCGAGGCCGAGGGAUGAGCUUUUCUCGAUGAUUUGGUAGAGGCAUAUCCUGUCACGAGUUUCCUUUUUUCUCUGGCAGCUACUUCACGGAUUCCUAGCUACUGAUGAUGCCUUAUACUUGAGGGGUUUCUACAUGGUUUCUCGAUGUAUUUGUCAGCGGGUUGCUGAGACUUCUCGGCAACUUUUUAUGGAUUGCCCGCGGGCCCAUCAUAUUUGGGUUCAUUACUAGCGGAUCAUGGGGAUGCGUGAGCUUUAUUUUCUGUCUCCCCGUACUUUGCUUUUAUUUUGGAAACAUUGUGCCCCUUCUCAGAAUCAUCAUCGGGUCCUUCUGCCUUACUUCAUUUUGUGGCAAAUUUGGAAGGCCCUAAAUGCUUUCUGGUUUCAUUCACAAUCUUUCUCCACUGAUGCGGUUAUCUUUCAGGUCGACUCUGAUCUCAGGCUUGCUAGUUCUGCUUUUGGAUUCAAGCCUCCCCAACUGAGGGGAGUCUUGGGUUCUCGUAUUGCGGAGAGCUUGCGAGUGACGGCUCCCCGUAGGAGGUCGAUUCGUCUAGUUGCUUGGAUGAGGCCAACUUCAGGGGUGGCUAAGCUGACUGUGGAUGGUUGCUCUAGGGGCAACCUUGGGAUGGCUGCUUCCGGGGGUAUUCUUCGGGAUCACCGGGGCGUGGUUUUAACGGCUUUUGGAUCCUUUUUGGUUUACAAGCCGAUCUUAUAUGCUGAGCUCAUGGUGGUGUGCGAGGGUUUGGAGCUUGCCAUUCAGCUUGGGUACUCAGUGCUCGAGGUUGAGUCAGACUCGGCUAUAGUGAUGUCAUGGAUUCACACCUCAGGGUCCUGUUCGAUGGGAAUGUUUUUAUUCUCUGCGCUGGGUGUGCCGUCUGGUAACGUCAUUCCCCAUUCAGGUGAGACAUGUUCUUCGCGAGGCUACUUAUGCUGCUGAUGUUCUAGCCAACUGGGCACGCACUCAUCGGACUAGCUGAUGUUUCUUAUCUCCUCGAGAGCUUCCCAAAGGCUUAUCUGGUAUUCUUUACUUAGAUGCCCACGCAAUCCCCCAUGUCAAACGUUAGGAUUUUAUCUUUUUCUUAUAUCUCAUUUUCUCUAGGAGGUUUUGGCUUAUAUCCCCUCCUUUGUAUCUAAUUCAUUUUCAGAUUUAUAUUAUAGGUAAGGGUUCCGUCUAACCCCACCACUCUGGUGGUUUAAAAAAAAAAAAAAACAAUGGCACAAAAUGCCUGUGAUAAUGAAACAAUGUGCCAUCCUUAAACUAAUAUCAUUACAAACUACAAGUGAAAGUUUUUGGAAAACAUGUGAUAAGUUUUUCUCGGAAUUUGUUUUCUUCUUUGUUUUGAUUUAAGUGUAAAAUUUUAAAAUCCGUAACAAAACAAAAAUUUACAUGGGUUGGGUGCACCUUGUGGUUCGUGCAUGCUUUCGUCUAAUAGUAUUUGAUACAUACAUAUUCAUUUUAAAAUUGACGAAUCGUAAUAAAAAAAUUUAUAUAUAAUAAUUGAAUGAGAUCCAUGGUUCACAAUUGCAAAUUAACGGUUGGUUUUAUAAUAAAAAUCUUUAUGUACAUACCAAAUUAAAAAAAGUUAUAAGUGAAUUAAGAUUUUCAAAAUUUGACUCGUAUUAUAUUGUGUACGUCAAUAUAAUAUAAAUUUGUUAUAUAUAUAUAUAUAUAUAUAUAUAUAUAAUCCAGUGCUUUGAAAAACUUUAUACUUGUUUGAACAGUUUUUUUGCUUUCUAUUUAUAUACGGUAUCAUUUAUGUUUACAUAAAUUUUCAUAUGUACCCAAAUUAAGCAUUAAAUACACAAACACUUUGUUAGGGCACAUGUAUAAUUAAUCUUAAUAAUUCUUAUACAAUCCUCUAUUUAACACCAGCAACGUCACCCAUUAUAAUUUAUCACUAAAUAUUGUAAAACUAUUGGUUUUCACGAAUAACUAAUAAAAAUUAUUUUUUUUAAAAGAAAAAUACUGCGAUUCCUUUCACUGUUGUAGUAGUAUAGUUAUCGUGGACGAUGAAUUUCUAGUAUUGUACAAUGAUAUUUAUGUUGAAUAUAACGCUUCAAUGAAUUUUAUUACUAUAUACUACAAUACUCAACCAUCUUCAUUAAAAAAAAAAAAAUUGCAUGAUUAGAAUGAUUAAAGUUCAUCUAAUGACGAGUUUCAUCAUUGACUGUGUCCAAACACAGCAGCAAUCCAGAAUACAUUUAACACGAGAGGCGCACACAAACAUGCAUGAUGAAUCUUCCACCAUUAAACCUGAAAUCAUAAAAUGAAAGAAACAAGAUGAGUGUUGUUUGUCUGAAAGCCGAUUCGAGAAAAAAUAAUAAUAAUAAUAGACCUUUGUUAAUAAUUAAUACUAGUUGUCACUACCUUGUGCAUCUUCCUCCUCUGUAUCAUCGUCCUCUUCCAAUCACACCGCAAGACCAGUAUAUCUCGAGAAUCUUUACUGCCUUCUCACAGAUCCCAUUGCUGUCAUGUCUUUUGAGAUCUUCAAUCUUUUUGAAUCCCUCAGCCGCCUCCACCAACCGUGCAUAAUGAUUAAAAUAUCUAUUGGCGGUACCCGUAUUCAUUUCAGCUUCCCCGACCUUCAAAAUGUUCUCUAAUCCUUUUAAGCAAAUAGUGACGAUCUCUGGAUCAGCGUAUAGAAGGAGAUCACACAAUGGUUUUAUACACCCCUUUCUCACGAGGUACUUGAUUUGCUCAUGAGUACCACCUGAGAUGGCAUUUGAAAUUGCCCGAGCGGCCUCCUUCUUUGUAAAAAAUUCAGCAUUUUGAAGCAGAUCGACAAGGGGACCAAUUACGCCAGCAUCAAUUACCACCUGAAUCUGUUCCCUGUUACCAGCUGUAAUAUUUGAAAUAGUCCUGCAUGCCUCUUUCGCAAUGCCUGUACACUGAGUCAGGAAACCAUCUCCCUUCACAAUAUAUCUGACAGUCCACAGGGGAGGAGUGAGCCCGAAGGGGAAGGGUAAUGGAUGAAGAAGGAGCUUAACAAGUCGUGGACAGACAUCUGCCUCGAUCACAGCUUGAAUUUUGUCAUUCGUACCAUCAGAUAGACAGGAUAGUGCCUCGCAGGCAUAUCUCAAGACAUCGUUGUCAUUUGAAUGAACAAGUUGUGCAAGCGCAGGAAGAGCUGGCCUCACCUGAUCAAAUGGUGGCUCUGGCUUGCCCUGGCAAAAACGAGACAAUGUCUUUGUGGCAUUUCUUAGCAUUGAAGGCUUAGCAUGCUUAUUUAACUGUGCCAGCAACGGAAUCAAAGCUUUUUCACUGAGCACAAGAUCACGGUCUCUAGGUGAGCUACGAGCAAUAUUUCCCAGUGCCCAAACAGCCUUCUCUCGGACAUCAUCACUUGGAGAAGAAAGUAGCUUCACAAAUAUUGGAACAGCACCGCCGUCGAUCACCACAUUAGUAUUCUCAGAAGCAAUGUUUGUAAGAGCCCGAGCAGCUUCCAACUGAAGCUGCGGAUUGUCUUCCCUAGUAAGAAACUCAACAAAGCGCGCGACAACGCCAGAUUGUAUGACUUUCUCACUUGGUGGUAGGAGCAGUUUUCGGAACCAAGUAGUUGCUUCCAGCUGCAAGCCACUGUCAUCUGACCAAACCCCAGCAAGCAUCCCAGGUAAACUCACCAACUUAUUUUAGGAGCAGGAGCAGGAGGAGGAAAUUAAGUUAGGGAUUUAGAGUGAGAGUGAAGGUGGAGAAAAAGCAAGAGAGGGAAAAAGCUUAUUGUUGAGAAAUAUGUACCUUUUGUAUGGUUGUGUUAAGGUCGUCCUUCCAAGCCCAACAUGCUUCACCAUGCCGCUCCACUUUGUGUAAUUUGGGUGUACUUAAUUUUCCUUCAGAGAAAAUCUUCAUAUCGGGGCAAUCAUCCACCACUAAUCUUUCUAAAGAUGGGAACUUGAAAGCACAAUUGCCAGAGCAGAAGCUUGUCAGGCGUUCUAAGUCUACAAGCUUCAACUCCUUCAAUUCUCUGAAAGUAAUAACCUCAUCUUUUGCUACAACAUCAUCCCCCUGUACUAUUUCUGUUAUCCUAUCGCAUGAUUUUAUCUUCAUAUAUCUAAGUCGCACCAGAGUCUUUGCAAUUAAGGAUGUUAAUACGAUUUUCAAGUUGUUGCAACGCGAUACCACCAUAUUUGUAAGAUUCUGAAAGGAUGUCGACGGUGGCACUAGAUUGACUAAAUGGUCACACCCCUUUACACGUAGAAUAACCAAGUUGUUCGUAACAGAGGACUCCCUUAUCAAAAUGUGCUCCAGAUGAAAUGCUUCUCUUAUUUCUACCCACAUCCCAUUUUCAACCUUCUCAUACGGCAACGAGGCACUAUAUCCUCCUAUUUGGAGGACUUUCAUUGUGUGAAGUCUCUGGAGGAAGUCACCAAGUGAUAAAAUCGUCCGCUCAUCACCCAAGUGAUAUUUAUUUGUCACUACGUGCUUUGCAUCAACUUUCAACUUUUCCAAAUUAGGGAAUACCUGGGAGAUCGAUCACAACCCCAAAAAAAAGAAAAAAAAGAAAUACAAGAUGAAUCAAUUGAUAAGAAAUAUAAGUUACCACUAAUUUAUACAAUAUAUUUUAUUCAAUAAAUCUUAACCUUUAAAAAAAAUAGUAAUAAUAGUAUGCCUAACAUCUAGAAUAAUUAUGAAUGAAUACUAUACACUAAUCCGUAAGAGAGUUACGUUGCUGACAAUUUGAGUUUUAGUAAGAAACCAAGCGAUGAAGGCAAAGGCAAUAUAACUCUAAACUCUAUGAUAUAAACUCUCACAGUGCAUACAUAAGAAUUGAAAAAUUGAUUAUAAAAUUCUUGUACCUACCCUUUCCGUGAAGAUACUAGUAGUUCUCACCAUGAAUUCAGGACAUUUAGAUAUCCGUAAUUCUUUCAAGGAUGGAAAUUCAAGAAUAUCAAGAUCUCCAGUGCAGAAGCUUGUGAACUUUUCAAGAUCAGACAUCUUCAGAUAUUGCAACUGAGGAAACAUUACAAUAUUUUUCUUCCUUUCUUCUUGGUUGUCCAUAACUAUUAACUCUUCCAAGACAGGACAUCCGACUAUCUCAAUGCAUUGGAGUUGAAC